rnacentral:rRNA from 1 species
AGCUUGCUGGAUGCUGACGAGCGGCGGACGGGUGAGUAACGCAUAGGAAUCUACCCGGUAGUGGGGGAUAACCUGGGGAAACCCAGGCUAAUACCGCAUACGUCCUACGGGAGAAAGGGGGCUUUGGCUCCCGCUAUCGGAUGAGCCUAUGCCGGAUUAGCUGGUUGGUGAGGUAAUGGCUCACCAAGGCGACGAUCCGUAGCUGGUCUGAGAGGAUGAUCAGCCACAUCGGGACUGAGACACGGCCCGAACUCCUACGGGAGGCAGCAGUGGGGAAUAUUGGACAAUGGGGGCAACCCUGAUCCAGCCAUGCCGCGUGUGUGAAGAAGGCCCUCGGGUUGUAAAGCACUUUCAGCGAGGAAGAACGCCUAUCGGUUAAUACCCGGUAGGAAAGACAUCACUCGCAGAAGAAGCACCGGCUAACUCCGUGCCAGCAGCCGCGGUAAUACGGAGGGUGCAAGCGUUAAUCGGAAUUACUGGGCGUAAAGCGCGCGUAGGUGGCUUGAUAAGCCGGUUGUGAAAGCCCCGGGCUCAACCUGGGAACGGCAUCCGGAACUAUCAGGCUAGAGUGCAGGAGAGGAAGGUAGAAUUCCCGGUGUAGCGGUGAAAUGCGUAGAGAUCGGGAGGAAUACCAGUGGCGAAGGCGGCCUUCUGGACUGACACUGACACUGAGGUGCGAAAGCGUGGGUAGCAAACAGGA